AUCUCUGCUAAAGACCUUUCUUUUCGACCGCGCCUUUGGCCACCUUCCUCAUCUAUCUAAUCUUCCCUGGAGAGACAAACCAUAGGCAGCAAAAUUUGUGCCAACACCUCUGAUGACAGCACAGCCAACCUGGCUCAUCAACAGGACUUAGAAGGACAGACCAAGUGGAGAUAUACCACUCAGCUCCUAUUAACUCUGCAAGCCAAAGCCCUAACAGGACCAGCUGUGAAAGCAAGGACUGAAUGAACAAUUAUGCAAAAGGGAAGAUCAAUAAACUAUUCACAAAGCAUGAGAUGUUUCCAUCUACAAGGAAAACAUUGGGGUGCAAUAAUGGAACUUGAAUGAAAAGGAGAAGCAAAGCAAAAUGGAGAAGCGGGUUGACCUCUUCAUGAAUUAUACUGUAUUUAAAAAUCUGUUUACAAUGAAGAUGAAAGAACAAAAAAUAAACCAAAGUGUGUAUUGAACUGCAUUAGUGCUGAUGCUCCAUUUUACUUUCUG